rnacentral:lncRNA from 1 species
UAAACGGGGAGAAGAUUAGUUGUAACGAGGAGAAAGAACAAUGCUUCUCUCCCCGACAUAAAACUCAUAGAAUUCCAGAAAUCUAUGAGUGUUCUUCGCAAAAACCCAGAAGAUUCAUCAUCUUCAUCGCAUCGUUCAUCAUUUUUCCAGAAGUAAAAUCAAAGUUCAUCAAAGUUCUUCAUUUUUCCAGAAAACGAAAACAUCCACAAUCAUAGCAUAAAACCAAACGCUAAACACUCGAUAGAAAUGGAAACAUAAACCCAAAAUGCUUAUAGGCACACGAUGGCAGAGUUUGGCGUUGAUUCAAACACCAAACCACACCAAAAUCAGGGACACACAGAGGAAAUGGGUUGCUAAAAACCCAAACAAAACUCAUAACACGAGAUCCCUAAAACUAAAGAAAGAACAUAAGGGGAUCUAAACAACAUGCAAACCAAAUAUCAAAUCACGCUGAAACAUUAAGUUUUGGCUAAGUGCAUAACAGGGACAAAAUCCACAAAAGAAGAUUAACAGAAGCAAGAAGCAAAACACACAUUACCUGUUUGAAUGAAGAUUUGAAUCUGCAAAUGAAGUGAGAAGUGGUGAACUUGAACUCUGAAAGUGGAGCAGGUGAGAGCAGCAGCAACGAAUGGGAAAAAGGAGUGAAAAGUUCCAAAUGAUUUCCUUUCUUCCUAUUUAUAGACGUUUCAAAACCUUGCACCUCCAUCACGAGGCAAUGUACCUUACACAUAAACACCGUUGAUCAAAAUCCAACGGUUGUGAUUAAAAGC